UACGUAGGGUGCGAGCGUUGUCCGGAAUUAUUGGGCGUAAAGAGCUCGUAGGCGGUUUGUCGCGUCGACUGUGAAAACCUACAGCUUAACUGUGGGCUUGCAGUCGAUACGGGCAGACUUGAGUUCGGUAGGGGAGACUGGAAUUCCUGGUGUAGCGGUGAAAUGCGCAGAUAUCAGGAGGAACACCGGUGGCGAAGGCGGCAUCCUGGACCGGCAUUGACGCUGAGGCGCGAAAGCCAGGGGAGCAAACGGG
rnacentral:rRNA from 1 species